CCCCUGCCCACACCACCAUCUGGCAGACGAGACUAGAGGAGAGGCCAUAUCUCCUGUGCUCACAACAUCAGGCCUGGCUCACAGACACCUCUAACAGCAGGGACACUCAGGGAAUAAUGUUCAUCACUCAAGGAUUUUCACCAUCUGAAGCUGAAGUCAAGCUCAAGGGUAGUGCGAUGUUUUCGACACUGUGAUGGUGCAACUAUUGCUGAUUUCCCCCGAUCCAGAGGAUGCUCAAAUGUCCGUAUACUUAGGAGCUUUGGGUCACAGAAGUGUUUAUUAUAGUGCUCGUUGUCUUCUAAGCGGCAAGUGGCUCAGAAUCACUUGUGUUGUGGACUGCCAUUAUAAAAUCCCACGGUGAGUGGGUGACAAACUGCGGUCUUGUGCUCUUUACACUUAUAGAGAAGUUGUGAAGGCAAAGAUUGGGUACCAGCCCGUACAAGGCCUACUGAGCACUCUUCCUGGCUCUCUUUGGAGUGUCUUCAAGUAGUGAAAGAGGCCAGGACUUCUCAGGCAUUUCAACUGCAAGACCA